ACAGCAGCAGCCGCGGUAAAACGGAGGGGGCUAGCGUUGUUCGGAAUUACUGGGCGUAAAGCGCACGUAGGCGGCUUUGUAAGUUAGAGGUGAAAGCCCGGAGCUCAACUCCGGAAUUGCCUUUAAGACUGCAGAGCUAGCAGGUGAGAGAGGUGAGUGGAAUUCCGAGUGUAGAGGUGAAAUUCGUAGAUAUUCGGAAGAACACUAGUGGCGAAGGCGGCUCACUGGCUCAUACUGGACGCUGAGGUGCGAAAGCGUGGGGAGCAAACAGGAUUAGAUACCCCCGUAGUCCCUGUCUCUUAUAC
rnacentral:rRNA from 1 species